GCGUUGUCCGGAAUCAUUGGGCGUAAAGAGCGUGUAGGCGGUCCGGUAAGUCGGCUGUGAAAGUCCAGGGCUCAACCCUGGGAUGCCGGUCGAUACUGCCGGACUAGAGUUCGGAAGAGGCGAGUGGAAUUCCCGGUGUAGCGGUGAAAUGCGCAGAUAUCGGGAGGAACACCUAUGGCGAAGGCAGCUCGCUGGGACGUUACUGACGCUGAGACGCGAAAGCGUG
rnacentral:rRNA from 1 species